rnacentral:antisense_RNA from 2 species
CUAUAGUUUAUUUGCAUCUGCAAAAUCAGGUGUCGGGUUUGAGACCCCGUAUU